rnacentral:rRNA from 1 species
GACGAACGCUGGCGGCGUGCUUAACACAUGCAAGUCGAACGGAAAGGCCCUGCUUUUGUGGGGUGCUCGAGUGGCGAACGGGUGAGUAACACGUGAGUAACCUGCCCUUGACUUUGGGAUAACUUCAGGAAACUGGGGCUAAUACCGGAUAGGAGCUCCUGCUGCAUGGUGGGGGUUGGAAAGUUUCGGCGGUUGGGGAUGGACUCGCGGCUUAUCAGCUUGUUGGUGGGGUAGUGGCUUACCAAGGCUUUGACGGGUAGCCGGCCUGAGAGGGAGACCGGGCACAGAGGGACAGGGGAGGCACCAGGAGUCAAACGGGAGGAAGGAGUGGGAAAUAGUGCACACCGGGCGGAGGCCGGAUGCAGGAACGCCGCGUGCGGAAUGGCGGCUUUCGGGGAGGAAACCGCUUUCGCCUGUGACGAGGCGUGAGUAAGGGAAAUGGGUAAAGAAGAACCGCCUAAUUAGGU